UAUGCCAGACAUGAGUGCAGGUCUCGUGUGAUCAAAUGUGGCAUGUACUGCAUUCUUAUGUAAUAACGCGUUUUUACAUGUGUAUUAAAAAUGUAUAUUUGUUUUCUAGAACUCAGAAAUAGGAGGGUUCUUAAAAUGCAUAUGGAAAAUCGAGGAUUGCUGUGUGAACACGGGGAAAACAAUCAGUGAAUCUCUGCUGGAGUCAGACCUAAGUGAUGACUCUGAGGGGACAGAGCACAACAGUGAUCAUGAAGUCACAAAAGUGGAUAGAACCAUUUUUGUUCCAAGUUACUUUAAAGGAAACCAACAUAAAUGGCUUCCACAAUCCUUCCUGGAGAUGAGAGCCCAGUGUUCACUUUCAGACGACGAAGAAGAACGGCUAUUCAGCACCAAAGUGAAAGAGAAGAAAAGAAAAAUAAAUCUGCCAUGAAAAAGAAGGCAAGUGCUUCAAAAAACAAACCCGCUCGCAAAAGCAGAGCUGCAGCCAGGACAUUAUCAGAAUCGUCUGUUGACUCUCUCUUCAUGGAGCAGGAAAAACAAAAUAAGACUCAUG